GACGAACCGUGCGAACGUUAUUCGGAAUCACUGGGCUUAAAGCGCGUGUAGGCGGGCCGGCACGUCGAUCGCUGAAAUCCCGCGGCUCAACCGCGGAAGGGGCGUCGAUACGACCGGCCUGGAGGGGUGUAGGGGGAGCCGGAACUUCCGGUGGAGCGGUGAAAUGCGCAGAUAUCGGGAAGAACACCCGUGGCGAAGGCGGCUCUCUGGGACGGUACUGACGCUGAGACGCGAAAGCGUGGGGAGCGAACAGG
rnacentral:rRNA from 1 species